rnacentral:rRNA from 1 species
UGGGGAAUAUUGGACAAUGGGCGAAAGCCUGAUCCAGCCAUGCCGCGUGUGUGAAGAAGGUCUUCGGAUUGUAAAGCACUUUAAGUUGGGAGGAAGGGCAUUAACCUAAUACGUUAGUGUUUUGACGUUACCGACAGAAUAAGCACCGGCUAACUCUGUGCCAGCAGCCGCGGUAAUACAGAGGGUGCAAGCGUUAAUCGGAAUUACUGGGCGUAAAGCGCGCGUAGGUGGGUUGUUAAGUUGGAUGUGAAAUCCCCGGGCUCAACCUGGGAACUGCAUUCAAAACUGACUGACUAGAGUAUGGUAGAGGGUGGUGGAAUUGCCUGUGUAGCGGUGAAAUGCGUAGAUAUAGGAAGGAACACCAGUGGCGAAGGCGACCACCUGGACUAAUACUGACACUGAGGUGCGAAAGCGUGGGGAGCAAACA